rnacentral:rRNA from 1 species
UACAGAGGGUGCGAGCGUUGUUCGGAAUUAUUGGGCGUAAAGGGCGCGUAGACGGUGCGGUAAGUCACCUGUGAAAUCUCCUGGCUCAACUGGGAGCUUGCAGGCGAAACUGCCGUGCUGGAGUGUGGGAGAGGUGCGUGGAAUUCCUGGUGUAGCGGUGAAAUGCGUAGAUAUCAGGAGGAACACCUGUGGCGAAAGCGGCGCACUGGACCACAACUGACGCUGAGGCGCGAAAGCUAGGGGAGCAAACAGG